rnacentral:rRNA from 1 species
UACGUAGGUGGCAAGCGUUAUCCGGAUUUACUGGGUGUAAAGGGCGUGUAGGCGGGGACGCAAGUCAGAUGUGAAAACCACGGGCUCAACCUGUGGCCUGCAUUUGAAACUGUGUUCCUUGAGUACUGGAGAGGCAGACGGAAUUCCUAGUGUAGCGGUGAAAUGCGUAGAUAUUAGGAGGAACACCAGUGGCGAAGGCGGUCUGCUGGACAGCAACUGACGCUGAGGCGCGAAAGCGUGGGGAGCAAACAGG